CUGAACUAGUCUUCCUUCAACACCCACCUCAACUUAUCUUCAAGGUCAAAUGUGUCUACUAGUCUCUUGUUUGCUUUUAAUUUGAGCCAAUUGUUUCUGGUUUGGUUUGGUUUGGUUUUAUUUUGUUUUGUUUUGUUUGUUUUGUUUGUUUUUUUUUUUUUGAAUUUGGGGGAUUUGGCUUGUUUUUGGUUAAAUUCAAUGUAGAAUGUGAAUUGAAAUGCCUUAAGACAGUUGUUUCUUUUUCUAUGUGGAGGUUCCCUGAUUGAUAUGUACUCUGUUUCAUGAAUAUAUUGGUUGAUUGAAGUUUGGUGGACAAUUUGAGCCAAUUGUUUUGGUUUUAUUUUGUUGAAAUGGGGGGCCUUAGCUUGUUUUUGGUUAAAUUCAGUGGAGAAUGUGAACUGAAAUGCUCGAUUGGACUAAUAGUAAGAAGGUCGAGACUUCUUCCACUCAUUGAUCUCAAUUGUGCGUCGUGCCAGUACCCAGUCUCCCACCUUAUUAACCUUUCAUUAACUUGUGGGGGACAAAGUUAGUUGCCCUUUUAGGUAAUGCCUCCACCUUUUGGCACUGUAUUUUGGUGCUGAUGAUUUGGAAGCUCUGGAUAAUUGAUCUGCUUCUUGUUCGGAUUGGGUAUUUGAAACUUGAAUUUAGAAUUGUCGGAUGAUUUGAGGAUCAUUGGAUUUGCCUUGUCAUUUGGACGAAUGGUUCAAAGGCGUUGGAUGCUAUUAGAUUGGUGAUUCACUUUUGCAAAUUCAUGACCAACUUGACAGGGUAAUCAAAGACCAUCAAACCUUCGAUACUAGAUUUAAUAUUUUUUUUUCUGGAUUUGGAUUAUGGUAGUAUUUGAAUAUUACUCUUUGUAAUCAUCAUUCAUCAAAUUUCAUAGGGUGGAGAAGAACUUGAUUUUCUUUGUUAUUAAAUUGGUGGAAAUUUAGUUUUAUUUGUUGUUAAACUCAUGAUGUUGUAAGUUAUAUAUUGAUAAUAUUGAAGAAGUGAAGUUUUGGUUU